GCUGGCGGCAGGCCUAACACAUGCAAGUCGAGCGGUAGCACACAUAGCUUGCUCUCGGGUGACGAGCGGCGGACGGGUGAGUAAUGUCUGGGAAACUGCCUGAUGGAGGGGGAUAACUACUGGAAACGGUAGCUAAUACCGCAUAAUGUCGCAAGACCAAAGUGGGGGACCUUCGGGCCUCAUGCCAUCAGAUGUGCCCAGAUGGGAUUAGCUAGUAGGUGGGGUAACGGCUCACCUAGGCGACGAUCCCUAGCUGGUCUGAGAGGAUGACCAGCCACACUGGAACUGAGACACGGUCCAGACUCCUACGGGAGGCAGCAGUGGGGAAUAUUGCACAAUGGGCGCAAGCCUGAUGCAGCCAUGCCGCGUGUGUGAAGAAGGCCUUCGGGUUGUAAAGCACUUUCAGCGGGGAGGAAGGCGAUGAGGUUAAUAACCUCAUCGAUUGACGUUACCCGCAGAAGAAGCACCGGCUAACUCCGUGCCAGCAGCCGCGGUAAUACGGAGGGUGCAAGCGUUAAUCGGAAUUACUGGGCGUAAAGCGCACGCAGGCGGUCUGUCAAGUCGGAUGUGAAAUCCCCGGGCUCAACCUGGGAACUGCAUUCGAAACUGGCAGGCUAGAGUCUUGUAGAAGGGGGGGUAGAUUCCCAGGUGUAGCGGU
rnacentral:rRNA from 1 species